GACCUCAGAUCAGACAAGGAUACCCGCUGAACUUUAGCAUAUCAAUAA
rnacentral:rRNA from 1 species